GGGGGCGAUCUGGAUUCGACGAGGGAAGGAAGUCAGAGCGGCAUGCCGGGGUCCUGUUGGCCCGUUAAACAAACAGGCUGCAAUUUAACUGCAGAUAAUUUUGAAUACGCCCUAGCUGCUUAGUUGUAGCUAGCGUCUUACCGGCUCCCUCCCGCGGGGUUGGAUAAGGCGUCAUUUAGCGGGAUGGACCAAUUCUCCUGCCGGAGGGGAUGAGGUCGAGAUCUAAACCGGCUGGUCCUGAGAGACCCUGCCACUGGGGGCUUGAAGGAUGAGAGCAAAUCAGUGGCUAAGCAUGUAGUCGUAUCUGAUGGAGCACUUUCGGACGGGGGUUCGAUUCCCCCCGCCUCCACCA
rnacentral:tmRNA from 1 species